CACCAGAAGGUUCAUCUCAUAUUCUUCUUUCUCUAUUCUUCUUUCUUCUUUUGUUGUUCUUAUCGGCAGCACCUCUCUCUCACUCUCUCACCAACAACCCUCCCUCUCUCUUUGAAACCAUAUAUUUCACUCUAAGGAAGAAAUGAAAAGAUUAGCCCUAAGAUUUCAGCUUCAAAGUUUGCAGAAAGUGAAAUGUCCCAUGCAUUAGAAAAUGGGAUAAGAAUAUUUCUCAGCAAUGCCUUGGAGAUGAGCCCAAAGCUCUAUUGGCUUAGACAUCAUGACCAUGUGAUCAGAUCCUUUGAUCUCCACCACAUCAUUGGGUGGAUUUCUCUCAAUCAUCCACAGUUGAAGAUCCCUCCUUGCCACCUUAUCUUUUUCGGAUAUGAUGUAAACCCGUUUAACCGACCCAUAAUUCUUAGAGGACAACAUUAGCUGCUUUGAUAGGUCUUCAUCACUAAACAAACGUAGUGGUCUCAACAACAAGGUGGCCAGUGUCAAAUCCUACAACAGUUGUAACAUACAAUGUUGAUAUGUUAGUUUCAACAAGAACUUUUGUAUUUAAUAUAAUGUAUUUUCCACUCUAUUUUUAUUUUU